CCCCUUUCAGGGUUGCACCUGGAGAGUUUCCAGUACUCUACCAGUCUCGAUCACAGAAGGAAGAGUCAAGCAGAGGUCCACCCAUUCCAUUCCUAGCUUGGGCAGUGGUUAGUGAGUGGAAGGCACUCUUCUACAAGU
rfam:Ornithorhynchus anatinus chromosome X5, whole genome shotgun sequence.